GCCUCAGCCUCUGCUGUCACUGAUCUCUCCAUCUUGUCUCUGCCUUCUUCUCUGUGUCUCCCCUCUCUCUGGCCUACCUUAUCUUCCCCUUUCCCUACUUGCUUUUCCCCCAGACAUUAUAGAAGAGAGUUCCUUAGGUCGUAGGCUAGUCCAGAUGGCUUUGCAUUUCAACUGUUGCUCAAAGAGAGCUUGUUGGUUCCCCACAGAUACAUAUUUAAGUGUAAUUUGGGGAAUCAAAAGCACUCUUUGCUCUUCCUUCAACAUCACCUUCUCUUAGCUACCUCAGAGCUGCGCAGUCUGCACUCCUCCCAACAAAUGCCAAUCAUUCAAUGACUUGCUAAAAAGAGAGCACACACUAGUGAGGGUAGGAAGGUCAAGGGAAAUGCAGUAUUGACAUCAGGAGUUUCAUUUUUUUCUGUUCAGAACCUGUAUGAACUGUACUAUGCACUCUCUAUUUAGGAGCCUCUGUUGGUACACACCCUGCUUGUCAAAUAGAAAAUUUAGAAGAGUCUUUUCCUCUCUUCCCUCAGAAAUGUGUGGUCCCUGAGUCAGUUGACAUUUAUGGCAAUGAUUGUUGGGAAUUUCCAAUGGAGUCUUGAAUCUCAUCACCAUUCCCUUUUCCCAAGAGAGACAACUAGAGGGGCUCCUCCCCACGACCCCACUCCAGCAAUCACAACAACAGUUAUGUAUAACGUACACGGUUCACCCAGGGCCUAACCAUGCCACAACCCAUUCUACUUCUCACCUGUUCCCUCCUUUUUUACCUCACUUCUAACAGGCUCUAUCAAAGACACUUGCAAGGGCAGCCUCUCCCCAUUCCUACUUCCCAUCCUUUGGGUUUCCAGCUGCAGAAUAUACCAGCACCCUCUCUUUACUUCAAUUCUUCCCUCUCAUUCCCCCAAUGAAGGAGUGGCUUCUGCAAUUCUCAUAAUCACAGUGGGGAGAGAAACAGACAACUAGAAUGGCCUAUUUUCCUGGCACUCUUUUAGUUCUCCACUCACUGCCUCCUACUGCCUUUGAACUACCAGACUUAAACCCCCCUCCCCUCCCAAAGGGAGCAAUAAUAAUAGCUAGCACUUACUGAGUGACAACUAUGUACCAAGCAUGGUUUGCUCAGCUUUUCUGGGACUCCAGCUCUCAGUCCUUGUGACACUCUCUCUCCUUUGUCAAACUUUCCAUCUCUCAACUCCCUGUCUCAUCUCUCUUUAUCUCCAACUCCAUCUUCUAACCAGUUAUGGGGUGAUCCACUGUCAUUCUUCCAGGGACCCCAUCUUAUGUGACUACACCCUUCAAGGAUGGGCCACUCCUUUUAUCUGACCAUCACUAGCUACUCUCAGGAAUUAUCUCAUGGUCCAGGCUACCUUUUUCACCAUCCAAGCCAGCUGUUACCACAAGCACUGCCUCAUCACCCCAUUGCCAGUUUAGCCCCGAUUCCUGGACCUUAAGAGUCCCCAGAAGUGACCCCAUCCUUUUCCCCAGGUCCCAGAACCUAUCCAGGCCCCAAGAAUGGCCACAGCAUUUCACACAGGUUACAAGAACUGCAAUAAGCACUUUUGACUCCAGUCUUCUGCUGCCUGACUCCUCUGUCCCCAUUCCUGGCCAUCUUUCCCUCCCUCCUGCCCACUCACUUGCCCACCAACUGUUUAGCAAAGCAAAACCCCCUUUAUUAAGUGAUUCAUUCAAUACGACACUCUUAUUUUCUCUUGAAGGGUUCGUUUGUACUUUUAGAGCCCCAAACGCAUUCUUUCUUUGGGGCCGAAAAUUGCUUUACACCCUUUACUGAGAAGACGCUGGAUUUUGAGUGUGAAAAAUGGCUGAAUCAACUUCGGAAAAAAAGAAAACCGUUACCCCAGGAUCUCGCGAAGCAAGAACUGACUAGUAACUGUUACCACGCUUCCAAGGCUCAUCAUUCAUUGGGCUAUUGACCUGUCAAUCACUUCUGCUAGGCCAAUGAGCAGCAAUCCCUGACACAAACUGAGGUUGGAGGACAGGCCAAUCGCUCCCGGCUAUUUGAGCCACUGGAGAAGUUCCUGAUGCCCACACCUGCUGGUCUCACUGCCAGGGCCUGGACGUCACAGGCUUGGGGAAUGGGGAGGGGACGGUAGCAUCAGCCUAGACCCACACGCAGUUUCCUGAUAAAAGGUCCUUUUGAAACAUUCAUUCUCUUCUCACCAAUUUGAAUGGAGAUGUGUUCCCAUAGUAAGAGUGAGGGCCCUGCAUUUGCUGCCCUCGGUUUUCCCAACCAACACCAAGGCCUCUCCCCGUACCCCAUUCAUACGCCUCAGAAGCUGACAAUGACUGUUGGACUUUUCCAGUGAAUACCAUUUCCUGCAGCCUGAAAAGAAGACAGUACAAUUAUUUGGCAGCGAGAGGCCAAGCAAGAAACCAGAGACAUGGUGAUGGCAGUGGCCCCAAGGAGGAGCUUUAAACCUGAGCACCACUCACAGGCGGCAGACCACCCUCCCAGCACCAGUGCAAACGAAUGUCGGCCCCCACCCAGGUCCUCAAGUGCUUUCCCAGUCAUGCCCCAGCUGCCAGGUUUGUUCUCCAGGCCUACUACAGAUGGGUUACCCUGACUCCACCCCCAACACCCUCCAAUGAUUAGAACCACUGACUCCUCCCUCCCUUGCCUGCCUCCAUGGCAGGCCCCUGCAGAAACCAAACAUAGUCACCUUAGACUCUGGCAUACUGAGACCAGGGCUUGAUCCUGGACCUCUUGCCUGCCUGGCAAUUUAUCAUUUAAUAAAAAUAUUGCUAAAGAAUA